CUUAAUUUUUUGGUGUAUAGAUAAUAUGUCUAAUGUUACGAUUCCACUACCAUGUGGUCGUGGACGUGGCCGGGGCCUUGGCCCGCCAGUGCCAUCGGUGCCGUCUGAUGCUUCCCAUGUUGGGGAAGCAACAUAUCGACCACUCCCACCACCCGACAUUGCCUUGCUGUCAUUCGCCGCGCAAAUCCCAAAUGAGGGUGAACCAUUUGUUACAGGCAACCCCCCGCCACGAGGAGACAGAAUAGCCAUCUGAUCUACCAGCGGUUGAUCCUGCCCGUCUGUGGGUUGUUCCUACACCACCACCACCACCACCAGUCGUCCCCGCACCAUCAGCCCGCCAGCAUAUUACCCUCGAUGAUGCAAGGUCUGGUAGAAAAUUCCACAAGCUCAUCAAUGCAGUCGUGCGGGGGCAAUUUCCAUACCCUUGGGGAUGUUUGAGGCAGGUGUUGCCAGAGCACCAACAGUUCUAGUUCGAAAGCAUAAAGAUGACCUACUGAUGGGAUUGUGACGAUGAAUUCAUAUUUUGGUUCUUCCACAUAUAGGCUGAAAAAUACAUCCGAAAAAAGUUCGCCGUAGCUUGGAGGGAGUUGGUGAGGCCACUUUGAUUGCCCAAGGAAGUUUGGCUCUAGCUCCAAGUGUACUGAGCCAGCGCGACUUCCAGGAGGAAUCCACGAAGAAUAAGGCCAACAAGGCGACGAACCCUAUGACGUCAUCCUCUGUGUACUGCGGGCGAUCCUCCUCUAUCGGGAUGAACAAGAAAAAGUUGGAGGCAAAGCUUCGUCGGCUGCCCAAGCAACUAGAGCUGUUUGCCAGAUGUUAUAAGAAGAAGGCGAACAGCGGUUGGAGCGGCUAGAGGAGAGCUGAGGAGACGUUCCAGAAGAUGAUGGAGGAACAUCAGCCUCAACCAACGCCCAAAUAUAUCAUAAACAUACAAUUACAAAGACUGUGCCUAAAUAUAUCCCCUUCAUAAAUAUAAUGAGUUCCAAAAUGCUGUCAAUAGUAUUACAAAAACCGUUCCAACUACAUUUCAUAAAAGUAUUUCUAAAUUA